rnacentral:rRNA from 1 species
UCAGGAUGAACGCUGGCGGCGUGCCUAACACAUGCAAGUCGAACGAAGCACUUACCGGAACUCCUUCGGGAAGGAAGAAAAGUGACUGAGUGGCGGACGGGUGAGUAACGCGUGGAUAACCUGCCCCGCACCGGGGGACAACAGCUGGAAACGGCUGCUAAUACCGCAUAAGCGCACAGUGCCGCAUGGCACGGUGUGAAAAACUCCGGUGGUGCGGGAUGGAUCCGCGUCUGAUUAGCUGGUUGGCGGGGCAAUGGCCCACCAAGGCGACGAUCAGUAGCCGGCCUGAGAGGGCGAUCGGCCACAUUGGGACUGAGACACGGCCCAGACUCCUACGGGAGGCAGCAGUGGGGAAUAUUGCACAAUGGGGGAAACCCUGAUGCAGCCGACGCCGCGUGAGCGAUGAAGUAUUUCGGUAUGUAAAGCUCUAUCAGCAGGGAAGAUAAUGACGGUACCUGACUAAGAAGCUCCGGCUAAAUACGUGCCAGCCGCCGC